UACGAAGGGGGCUAGCGUUGCUCGGAAUUACUGGGCGUAAAGGGCGCGUAGGCGGGUCGUAAGUUGGGGGUGAAAGCCCAGGGCUCAACCCUGGAAUUGCCUUCAAUACUGGCGAUCUUGAGUCCGGAAGAGGUGAGUGGAACUCCUAGUGUAGAGGUGGAAUUCGUAGAUAUUAGGAAGAACACCAGUGGCGAAGGCGGCUCACUGGUCCGGUACUGACGCUGAGGUGCGAAAGCGUGGGGAGCAAACAGG
rnacentral:rRNA from 1 species